rnacentral:lncRNA from 1 species
CUGACACUCAGAGGAGAAGGGCAGAAUGACCUGAGGUCAUUCACCACUGUGCCUGGGCUGGAAGACUUGUCUCUCUUUUUUAGUCCUUCCCUAAGGACUGGAAUCUCAUCUAUCCAGAUGCUAGAGCCCUGUUACCUGUAGGCAAAUCAUGACAUCAAUGGCAAUGAACACUCAACUCUUGAUCAUUCUCCAAUUGAAUUGCCCUUAUUGGGAAGCCUUGAUAUUUCUGUUUGGAUUCUCUCAUGCUGAUCAUUUGCCUGAACCCGGGACAGAGAUUGAGUCUACAAAGCCGAUCCUGCCAAAGAUAUUUCUGCAGAUAAGGAAAAAGUCCUUUUCUUUCGAGUAUAAUUUGCAGAAGUUGGAAGAGCC